rnacentral:tRNA from 1 species
GAUCCUUUAUUAUAAUUUUAGUAUUUUUAACUUCCAAUUAAAAGGUUUUAAGGAUUA